UAACUAAUUAGAAAUACAAAAAUAUCUCUCAUUUUGUAAGACAUCUAAGUUCCUCCGUCCAAAAUAUACAAGGACUAUUAGGUCCUACAUAG